rnacentral:rRNA from 1 species
AACGAACGCUGGCGGCAGGCCUAACACAUGCAAGUCGAGCGAGGACUUCGGUUCUAGCGGCGGACGGGUGAGUAACGCGUGGGAAUGUGCCCUUCUCUACGGAAUAGCCCUGGGAAACUGGGAGUAAUACCGUAUACGCCCUAUUGGGGAAAGAUUUAUCGGAGAAGGAUCAGCCCGCGUUGGAUUAGGUAGUUGGUGGGGUAAUGGCCUACCAAGCAGACGAUCCAGAGCUGGUUUGAGAGGAUGAUCAGCCACACUGGGACUGAGACCCGGCCCAGACUCCUACGGGAGGCAGCAGUGGGGAAUCUUAGACAAUGGGGGCAACCCUGAUAUAGCCAUGCCGCGUGAGUGAUGAAGGCCUUAGGGUUGUAAAGCCCUUUCAGCUGGGAAGAUAAUGACGGUACCAGCAGAAGAAGCCCCGGCUAACUCCGUG